CAACUUUCCUGAUCAUUAAUUUCUGCCUGACAAGAAUUCAUUGCAAAUUCAACAUCGGGGCUUCAGGCUAAUCACAUCAUUGCAUGGUUCCAUAGCCAAUGUGAAAGCCUAUGUCUAAAUGAUUGCCAUCGGUUACGUUUAAUGAUGGCGAGACGGAGUUCUAUCUCAUGUAGUACACUACUUUUGACUGCGUUGAACUAGAUAGGGAAUUGGGUGUCGUUUUAAGACGUAUUUCCUCAGGAUCAAGGGGCGCUGUGCUGCUGUUUAUUCUUGCUCUGGCUUUGCGGCCUUUUCUGUUGCCUGGAAAAGCCCUCUCACAAGGUUAUGAAAUGAGUGUCAUUUUGAUUUAACCGUGGAGGUCGUUUUUUAAUCCCGGACUCGGUCACUAUUCGGAUGGGUUGAGCCAAGAUGUCGUGCUUUUUACUGCUGUCGCAGCUCCGGUAACCGAUCCUCAUGUUAACCCUUGGGGGAGGAGGGAUUCUUGAGUGCUGUCGCACAACUAUUACUUUCCGACUUCUGCUGUUCGAGUCUGGCAACAACAGAACUGGAAGUGGUUGUGGGUUUUGGUUUUCACGGCGAGACUUGUAAAAUCUCAUUUUUUAAAGGCGAUCGUUGUAAAUGAUCUCUCUGCGUGUGUCUGUGAGGGAGAAUGAGGGAUACCAACGGGAGGAUUUCGUGGCACUACUCGGGAUGAUGGGAAUUCCACCGGUAUGGGCGCUUGGCGCUGGCCAGACUGGAUGAGGAAGUGAGGCUGAGAGAGAGGUCUGCAGAGAGACAACGGCUACCUGGGACUGCGGCAGGAGAGGACCUUUGGGCAGAGGAGAGAGGUCUGCAGAGAGACAACGGCUACUUGGGACUGCGGCAGGAGAGGACCUUUGGGCAGGUUCCUGCAGCGUGUGUCAGGGUGGAGUUACCUGACCCAUGGAGAAUUACUUCCAGACAGAGGCCUUCAACCUGGACAAGGUGCUGGAUGACUUUGAACAGAACCAAGGUGAGACCAAUUAACCAAUUAGCCA
rnacentral:lncRNA from 1 species